UACGUAGGGUGCGAGCGUUGUCCGGAAUUAUUGGGCGUAAAGAGCUUGUAGGUGGCUCGUUGCGUCGGGAGUGAAAACCUGCGGCUUAACCGCAGGCCUGCUUCCGAUACGGGCGAGCUAGAGUUCGGCAGGGGAGACUGGAAUUCCUGGUGUAGCGGUGGAAUGCGCAGAUAGUCAGGAGGAACACCGGUGGCGAAGGCGGGUCUCUGGGCCGAUACUGACACUGAGAAGCGAAAGCGUGGGAGCGAACAGAU
rnacentral:rRNA from 1 species